UGUAGGAGUGAGCCUGCUCGCGAUAGCGGUAUGUCAGAACCUGAACAUUUGACUGACACCCCGCUAUCGCGAGCAGGCUCACUCCUACA
rnacentral:misc_RNA from 1 species